UGGGGAAUUUUGCACAAUGGGCGCAAGCCUGAUGCAGCGACGCCGCGUGAGGGAUGAAGGCCUUCGGGUUGUAAACCUUUUUCGCUCAUGGUCAAGCCGCAGCUUUGGGUUGUGGUGAGGGUAGUGGGUAAAGAAGCGCCGGCUAACUACGUGCCAGCAGCCGCGGUAAUACGUAGGGCGCGAGCGUUGUCCGGAAUUAUUGGGCGUAAAGGGCUUGUAGGCGGUUGGCCGCGUCUGCCGUGAAAUCCUCUGGCUUAACUGGGGGCGUGCGGUGGGUACGGGUUGACUUGAGUGCGGUAGGGGAGACUGGAAUUCCUGGUGUAGGUGGAAUGCGCAGAUAUCAGGAGGAACACCGGUGGCGAAGGCGGGUCUCUGGGCCGUUACUGACGCUGAGGAGCGAAAGCGUGGGGAGCGAACAGG
rnacentral:rRNA from 1 species